rnacentral:rRNA from 1 species
AGAGUUUGAUCCUGGCUCAGAUUGAACGCUGGCGGCAGGCCUAACACAUGCAAGUCGAACGGUAACAGGAAACAGCUUGCUGUUUCGCUGACGAGUGGCGGACGGGUGAGUAAUGUCUGGGAAACUGCCUGAUGGAGGGGGAUAACUACUGGAAACGGUAGCUAAUACCGCAUAACGUCGCAAGACCAAAGAGGGGGACCUUCGGGCCUCUUGCCAUCAGAUGUGCCCAGAUGGGAUUAGCUAGUAGGUGGGGUAACGGCUCACCUAGGCGACGAUCCCUAGCUGGUCUGAGAGGAUGACCAGCCACACUGGAACUGAGACACGGUCCAGACUCCUACGGGAGGCAGCAGUGGGGAAUAUUGCACAAUGGGCGCAAGCCUGAUGCAGCCAUGCCGCGUGUAUGAAGAAGGCCUUCGGGUUGUAAAGUACUUUCAGCGGGGAGGAAGGGAGUAAAGUUAAUACCUUUGCUCAUUGACGUUACCCGCAGAAGAAGCACCGGCUAACUCCGUGCCAGCAGCCGCGGUAAUACGGAGGGUGCAAGCGUUAAUCGGAAUUACUGGGCGUAAAGCGCACGCAGGCGGUUUGUUAAGUCAGAUGUGAAAUCCCCGGGCUCAACCUGGGAACUGCAUCUGAUACUGGCAAGCUUGAGUCUCGUAGAGGGGGGUAGAAUUCCAGGUGUAGCGGUGAAAUGCGUAGAGAUCUGGAGGAAUACCGGUGGCGAAGGCGGCCCCCUGGACGAAGACUGACGCUCAGGUGCGAAAGCGUGGGGAGCAAACAGGAUUAGAUACCCUGGUAGUCCACGCCGUAAACGAUGUCGACUUGGAGGUUGUGCCCUUGAGGCGUGGCUUCCGGAGCUAACGCGUUAAGUCGACCGCCUGGGGAGUACGGCCGCAAGGUUAAAACUCAAAUGAAUUGACGGGGGCCCGCACAAGCGGUGGAGCAUGUGGUUUAAUUCGAUGCAACGCGAAGAACCUUACCUGGUCUUGACAUCCACGGAAGUUUUCAGAGAUGAGAAUGUGCCUUCGGGAACCGUGAGACAGGUGCUGCAUGGCUGUCGUCAGCUCGUGUUGUGAAAUGUUGGGUUAAGUCCCGCAACGAGCGCAACCC